ACAUCCAUGUUUAAAGAACAUGGAGUGUGUAUGGUGGCAUGGUUAAAUAUUUUGGAGGCAGAAGGGGAACUUGUAUGCGUGUCAAUUUGCCAUCUAAGUGGCAGGUAGCAUUGAGUCCCUUGGCAUGGAUUAGAAAUGGAAUUCUCAAUCAGCUUCAAAGGAAACUAAUUAAUUGGUGAAGCAUUGAAUUGUGUUAUCAGAAUAGUUUUCUCACAGGAUUCAUGAUUUUCCCUUCUUUAUCCCCAAGUUAGACGUAAGCUUUCAGUUCUAUAUACAUGUAUAUACCUGUAGAAUCCUG
rnacentral:lncRNA from 1 species